UGGCGCCCCAUCUUACCCAGCAGUGUUUGGGUGCCGCUCGGGAGUCUCUAAUACUGCCGGGUAAUGAUGGAGGUCCUU
rnacentral:pre_miRNA from 1 species